rnacentral:rRNA from 1 species
AGAGUUUGAUCCUGGCUCAGGAUGAACGCUAGCGGCAGGCUUAACACAUGCAAGUCGAGGGGCAGCACAGGUAGCAAUACUGGGUGGCGACCGGCGCAAGGGUGCGUAACGCGUGAGCAACAUGCCCGUAUCAGGGGGAUAAUCCAUGGAAACGUGGUCUAAUACCCCAUAGUAAGUUUUUGAGGCAUCUCAAGGAUUUUAAAGCUUUGGUGGAUACGGAUUGGCUCGCGUGACAUUAGCUGGAUGGUAGGGUAACGGCUUACCAUGGCUACGAUGUCUAGGGGUUCUGAGAGGAAGGUCCCCCACACUGGAACUGAGACACGGUCCAGACUCCUACGGGAGGCAGCAGUGAGGAAUAUUGGACAAUGGAUGGAAAUCUGAUCCAGCCAUGCCGCGUGCAGGAAGACGGCCCUAUGGGUUGUAAACUGCUUUUGUAUGGGAGCAAUAAGAUCUACGUGUAGAUUGAUGAGAGUACCAUACGAAUAAGCACCGGCUAACUCCGUGCCAGCAGCCGCGGUAAUACGGAGGGUGCAAGCGUUAUCCGGAUUUAUUGGGUUUAAAGGGUGCGUAGGCGGUUUGAUAAGUCAGCGGUGAAAUAUUUCAGCUUAACUGGAAGGGUGCCGUUGAUACUGUCGAGCUUGAAUUUAGUUGCUGUGGGUGGAAUGUGUGGUGUAGCGGUGAAAUGCAUAGAUAUCACACAGAAUAUCGAUUGCGAAGGCAGCUCACAAAGCUAAUAUUGACGCUGAUGCACGAAAGUGUGGGGAUCAAACAGGAUUAGAUACCCUGGUAGUCCACACUG